rnacentral:rRNA from 1 species
CCUACGGGGGGCUGCAGUGGGGAAUAUUGGACAAUGGGGGGAACCCUGAUCCAGCCAUGCCGCGUGUGUGAAGAAGGCCCUCGGGUUGUAAAGCACUUUCAGUGAGGAAGAACGCCUGGUGGUUAAUACCCAUCAGGAAAGACAUCACUCACAGAAGAAGCACCGGCUAACUCCGUGCCAGCAGCCGCGGUAAUACGGAGGGUGCGAGCGUUAAUCGGAAUUACUGGGCGUAAAGCGCGCGUAGGUGGCUUGAUAAGCCGGUUGUGAAAGCCCCGGGCUCAACCUGGGAACGGCAUCCGGAACUGUCAAGCUAGAGUGCAGGAGAGGAAGGUAGAAUUCCCGGUGUAGCGGUGAAAUGCGUAGAGAUCGGGAGGAAUACCAGUGCGAAGGCGGCCUUCUGGACUGACACUGACACUGAGGUGCGAAAGCGUGGGUAGCAAACAGGAUUAGAUACCCCGGUAGUC